rfam:Oryza glaberrima chromosome 3 Oglab03_0113_10, whole genome shotgun sequence.
AAUAAUUAUAGUUUUAUACUAUUCACGUUUAAUGUUUAACCGUUUAUUUUAUUUUAUUUUUUUAUGAUUAAUAUUUUUAUUGGUAUUAGAUAAUAAAACAUGAAUAAUACUUUAUGUAUGAUUAAAUAUUUUUAUUUUUUUACAAAAUUUUUAAAUAAGACGGACGGUCAAACGUUGAGCACGGAUAUCCAUGGCUGCACUUAUU